CCACCUCCCCUGCAGCCGAGUGCACGCAGCAGCCUGGCGUGACAAGUGGGCGACGCCGGGGGGCAGGGAGCCGGGGUCCUUGGCCCUGGCCGGGGACCCCACCGCCCACCGCGCGGAGGACAACUUUUAGCCGGCAGCCCAGACCAGCGCGGCACCUGUCUCCGGAGUCUCCACCGCUCCUCCCGAUUCAUCCCAGGGAAAUUCUCAAGAAUACGCUCUACAAAUCUACGUGCGCAUCAUUUUCACCUCGCGUCGCGCCCGGGAGGAAGGAACGAGGCAAGGAGCUAAAGCAGCGUGCGUUCAGCCCUGGGGCAUUUUAUUAAUGCUUUUACGAGUUAGAAGAGUUGGGAUAAUUUGCCAUCUGGAGUUUCUCUGCCUUGCUGAUCUGAGCUCAGACCUGCCAAUUUACCAGAGAUAAUUGAUAACACCCUGUAACAGCUGAGAGGAAAAUGGAAGAAACGGAGAUACUUUUAGUGAAGCAGAAUAAACCACUGAACAGCGUUGGCUGAAAAACAUAAGGUCUGUUUCAUCUUCAUAAAAACGCUGCUUUCAGUGCACUGGAUUUAUUUUACAACCCACUAAUGGAUUACCCUACAGUUUGAAAAACAUUGCGUUAGACCAGUUUGACUGUUGUCAAGAACCAAAAAAGAUGGAGUCUCACUCUGUUGCCCAGACUGGAAUGCAGUGGUGUGAUCUCAACUGACUGCAACCUCCGUAUCCUGGGUUCAAGCAACUCUCCUGCUGCAGCCACGAAAAAUGAGGAAGCUGUGAGUACCAGUGGAAGGAACGAGCCAGGAAGAGGGACUGGAACCAUCUCAGAAGCCAUGCCCCUCAGGCUGGAACUUGCCCUGUCUCCUCGCAGAUGAGCUACCUCUUGUGUUUAAGAAUUAAAGGAAGAUGAGCUAGGAAUCAAGAAAUACGCAGAACUGAUUCCUGUCACUGGCGCCACCCUGCCACUUGCCCAGAGCUGUGGUAUAAAUUUUUUUAAUAGGCUGAAAUAAAAAUAUGAAUAGCAUUUUGGUAUUAAGCAUUAAAUUGAUAAAGGCUAUGAGAUACACCUGCUCUCAACCAUGUUAAUUUUUUAUUAUUGGUAUUAAUAAAUUAUUACUUACUAACAUAUUAACAAGAAUUGCAUUGAGAAACAAAGCAUCCACAGGCCAAAUCUUCUGAAUUUCAAAUGUUUAUAUUAAUGCGUUGUAUUCUAGAAAAGUAGAAUUGUCUUAAGUAGCUUUGUAAUAUAAAGUCAUCUAUCAGCCCAUUACACCUAUUAGAAUGUUUUAACCUUUAUUUCCCACUUUUUUGUUUCUAGACUGAGUGUACUUGGUCUGGUAUUUGUGGCAUAACUUACGGAACACAUAAGAAUGAUACAGAUACUAUUUAAUGAUGACCUAAUACAAGCUUAGAUAGCUAAGGUGAAAGCUUCUAUGGCCUUAACAUUUUCCUCUUGAAGAAUGUAUUUUCUGUAAUAAAAUACAGUGGCUACUUGAAAUCUAUAAACUUAUGUGAGGUCUGGAUAAAUCUGAGCAACUUUCUUCUUUGUGCUCCAGGAACCUACGCAC
rnacentral:lncRNA from 1 species